rnacentral:rRNA from 1 species
UAAAACGUAGGUGGCGAGCGUUAUCCGGAUUUACUGGGCGUAAAGCGUGUGCAGGCGGGGUGACAAGUGGUGUAUGAAAGGUAUCGGCUCAACCGAUAUAGGUUAUGCCAGACUGUCACUCUAGAGUACGAGAGAGGGGCGUGGAAUUCCGGGUGUAGUGGUGAAAUGCGUAGAGAUCCGGAGGAACCCCAGAGGCGAAGGCGGCGCCCUGGCUCGAUACUGACGCUCAGACACGACAGCAUGGGGAGCGAACGGGAUUAGAAACCCCGGUAGUCCAUGCCGUAAACGAUGCAAACUAGGCGCUGACGGUCUCAACCCCGCCGGUGCCGCAGCUAACGCGAUAAGUUUGCCGCCUGGGGAGUACGGUCGCAAGGCUA